UACAGAGGGUGCGAGCGUUGUCCGGAAUCACUGGGCGUAAAGGGCGCGUAGGCGGUCCGCUAAGUGUGUGGUGAAAGCCCGGGGCUCAACCCCGGGAGGCGGGUGGAUACUGUCAAGCUCGAGUCCGGAAGAGGAGUGUGGAAUUCCUGGUGUAGCGGUGAAAUGCGCAGAUAUCAGGAGGAACACCAAUGGCGAAGGCGGCUCUCUGGGACGGUACUGACGCUGAGACGCGAAAGCGUGGGGAGCGAACAGG
rnacentral:rRNA from 1 species